UGACUGCUUGAUCUUUCUGAAGCAGAUCUCCAAAGCCUGCUUUCAUGAAGCCCCUAGUGACUGUUCCCUCCACUGGAUUCCUACAACAGCAAAGAAGCCACCUGUUAGGUUCUUAGCACAAGAAGCUUUAUGCUGUCACUUUUUAUUUUAUUUUUUUAACAUGUCUGUAAGCUAUCUGCAAGUAGGGACCAUGCCUUAAGGGAGGAGGAGAAUAACAAAAAAUAGCAUUAGGACAGGGCAAACCCUGAGGACUAGUCCCAACUCGGAGACUCUACGGCUUGGGAAAACUCAGUCUACCUGUCUGGCCUUUGGAUCCCUCAUCUGUCGGAUGCCAAGUUGUGCAAGAAUGGUUUGGUUUGGACUGGCCUCUGAUGUCCCCACCCUUGCCUUGAGCAUGGCAAUUGUCCCCAAAGUGAAUGACGAUGCUGUCUUAGGGUAGACUUCUGCAAAGGGCGCUGAGCAGCCAGAGGGUGCGUGUGUACUUUUCUUUCGGGAGCCUGCUUUUUCCCUAUCGCUAUGCAAACUGGCCCUGGCACAUUGGUCUGGCUUGGAACGUGACUGGCAGCGGCCUAAGUGCUGAGGCCACUGCUAUGGAAGAGAUCUCACUGGAUGAGGAUCACGUUGUUUUCACAGUGCGAGGCUCUGCCUUCUUGAAAGCUCUGGCAGUAUCAAUAGAGGCUGUUCCUCAGAGCUUUUACAAAGCAGCCCCCCUGGCUGACAAGUCCUGGGGCAAGGCGUCUUGGACCACUAAUAACUCAGCAUCUCUUCUAGGCUUUUAUGGGCUCUUCAGUGGCUCUGCAUGCCUCUGUAUCCCCUCAUGUCCAGGCAGUGGCAAAUAGAGGCCAUGAUGCCACAGCUACCAGCUUGGGAGCCAGGUGUCAGCGACUGACCCAGAGCUGCUUCUCACUGUGCUAUUUCAGGCUUUUAGGACAUGGGACUGUGGAAUCUCCGCAUUGGAAGAAAGAGAUCUCAGAGCUCAGUUGAUUCAGUUCCUGGUACCUGAAUCCCCUCUAAUCCUAGCAGUGGCAUCCUUAUUGAGCGCCUUCCCGUAGGUCAUCACAAUAUUGCCACCAAGUGAGGGCCCAGUGUGUGAACACCUCUUGAGUUAGUCUGUUCAGCUCAGAGGUUUUGACUGCUGGAAACACACCCCUCACCCGGUGCUUAAGAUCUUUUAGAACGUAUAGUAUAACGGAGGACAGCACAUCCUGCUUGUAUGUGAAUCCAGGGUCCACCUACUAGCUGACUAACACUGGGCAAGUUACUGAGUCCUCUGUCCCUCACUUUCCUCAUCUGAAAAAUGGGGAUAAUAAUAUUACAGUCUCAUAAAGCUGUUGUACAGAUUAGGUGUUAAUGCAUGAAAAAUUUUUUUUAAGUGCCUGGCAUAGAGAAAGUAAUGUAUGUUAUGUGUAUAUAUAAAUGUAAAUAUAUUAUUAUGUAAUAUUGUUGUAUAUCAUAUAUAAUUAUAUGUCAUGUAUAAUCAAAUAUAUAUCAAACAUCUAUCAUACAUACGACAUAUACACGCACAUACCUAUACUGUUAUUAUUAUACUGUUCUUGCUACUGUAACUUAACAGCAACAAAACUCCUCAAUAGAGAGAGGAGACUUCAAGUGUAAAUCUUCCUGGGAAGGAAAUGAAUGAUCUUUGCCUUGUAUGAGCCAUGUGCUUUACAUGGCAUCUUACCUAGUCUUCACAACAAUAUAUAUGAGAGAUAUUGUCAAUUCCUAUUUUACGGAGGAUGAAACUAAGGCUCAUGUCAUCGGGCAAGCGCUCAAGGGUCAUUGACAUAGUAAGUGGCAGAGGUGGCCUUAUUUCAAAGGCAUUAAACUGCGGUGACUUAACUUCCUACGGAGGCAGACAUGGCUGGGACCAGCUCUUUCUCUGAGAGGCGGCUGGUACCACUGGCUUCUGGAUGAGGCAUGGGUGACUGAAGAGAAGAAUCUUGGAGGAGGAGGGCUAUACGAUGCGAGAGUGCGGGGCUGCCAAGGCGCCGGGUGAUGGGAAGAAUGUGGACACCCCUCUCCUCCCCUUCAAGACCCUCCGUCAGAGACAGACCCUGCUGCCCGCUGUGAGCUGCUCUUCCCUCCUAGGACUGUGUCAGCCGCUCCCUGCGUGUCCUUUACUCCCAGCAUGCUCCUCUGCCAGCUGAGCAACCUCUCCUGCCUUCAAACCUUUUCCUUGCACAGUGGAAUGACUUAAUGGCUUCCUGCCAAGACCAAAAUAGUCUGGGCUGUAUUUAUCUGUUCUGUGCUCACACAGGACGGGGAACAUCACAGUAAAGCUUCAGUGCUCUUGAAUUUGGAUGAGGCAAUGCUCAGACUAGUGCUUGGCAAAUAUAUUUGCUUUUAAAAUUUCUUUUGAAGUGAGCUGAGGUGAGGAGAGGAACAGAAGGCAUAGAGAGGAAUGAAAAGUUAUGGGUCUUUUAGUCUUGGUCAUAAGCUUCAGAAAAUUCCUGUGCAUGGGAGUGAUGACUCAGAUGGUAACCUAGCACUCGUGAUAAGCAGCUUAUCCAUAGGAUCUAACCACCGAGGUUUCCCUGUAGUACAAUGAGAGACUUAGAUGUACUGAUCACCAGAACCCCAUCGACUGACCACUAAGGCUUUAUACCUUACCUCCACAAUGGGAUAGUUCUUGGCCCAAGUGCUAUUCGCUGGGUCUGGAAUUUCUUUGCUACACCACUGAGGUCUGAGGGCCAAAAGGAGAACAAAUACCCUGCAGGUAAAGAAAACAGUGACAUUGGUUAAGUGGGCACACGGUGGCCUGGAAGCACAGUGACUUCAGUGUAGGGGUAUGCAAAUGAGUAAACUGUAAACACUGCAGGAGAAAGAUGAUGCAUCGUCCAAGUCUGGACUAGUUUUCUGUGAAGUUUGGAUAGAUGAUAAAGACUCGUGGGGCAACGACUUAGGGUUUGCUAAAUAAACUACGGAACUUUUGCUCGGUGUAAUGUUUAGCUAUCACUAAGCAGCCAAGCACUCACUCAACAAACGUUGAUUGAAUCCUUAAUGUAUGACCAGCACAGUGCCACAUGCUGGGGAUAAAACAGCAAACAAGAGGACAUGGUCAAUACCCUUGGGGAGAUUACUAUUUAUAUUUAGUAAAUUAGAAUGUUUAUAAAGAGCUUGUAAUGAAAACAAAGUAAAACGGGAUACAGGUGGUAUAAACAGCUUGGACAUAACCAAUUAAAAAAAUGCCAAAAAAAAAUACCAAUAUGGAAAUAUCCAAACUAUUAAAGUAGUUGUAUUUGGUGA